UUCAACAAUUGCAAAUUUCCA
rnacentral:piRNA from 1 species